rnacentral:rRNA from 1 species
AAUGAGCCUGCGAGUUGUGGUGUCUGGCAAGGUUAAGCAAACGCGAAGCCGUAGCGAAAGCGAGUCUGAAUAGGGCGCUUAGUCAGAUGCUGCAGACCCGAAACGAAGUGAUCUAUCCAUGAGCAAGUUGAAGCUAGUGUAAGAACUAGUGGAGGACUGAACCCAUAGGCGUUGAAAAGCCCCGGGAUGACUUGUGGAUAGGGGUGAAAGGCCAAUCAAACUUCGUGAUAGCUGGUUCUCUCCGAAAUAUAUUUAGGUAUAGCGUUGUGUCGUAAUAUAAGGGGGUAGAGCACUGAAUGGGCUAGGGCAUACACCAAUGUACCAAACCCUAUCAAACUCCGAAUACCUUAUAUGUAAUCACAGCAGUCAGGCGGCGAGUGAUAAAAUCCGUCGUCAAGAGGGAAACAACCCAGACUACCAGCUAAGGUCCCUAAAUCUUACUUAAGUGGAAAACGAUGUGAAGUUACUUAAACAACCAGGAGGUUGGCUUAGAAGCAGCCAUCCUUUAAAGAAAGCGUAAUAGCUCACUGGUCUAGUGAUUUUGCGCGGAAAAUAUAACGGGGCUAAAGUAAGUACCGAAGCUGUAGACUUAGUUUACUAAGUGGUAGGAGAGCGUUCUAUUUGCGUCGAAGGUAUACCGGUAAGGAGUGCUGGAGCGAAUAGAAGUGAGCAUGCAGGCAUGAGUAGCGAUAAUUAAUGUGAGAAUCAUUAACGCCGUAAACCCAAGGUUUCCUACGCGAUGCUCGUCAUCGUAGGGUUAGUCGGGUCCUAAGUCGAGUCCGAAAGGGGUAGACGAUGGCAAAUUGGUUAAUAUUCCAAUACCAACAUUAGUGUGCGAUGGAAGGACGCUUAGGGCUAAGGGGGCUAGCGGAUGGAAGUGCUAGUCUAAGGUCGUAGGAGGUUGUACAGGCAAAUCCGUAUAACAAUACUCCGAGAACUGAAAGGCUUUUUGAAGUCUUCGGAUGGAUAGAAGAACCCCUGAUGCUGUCGAGCCAAGAAAAGUUUCUAAGUUUAGCUAAUGUUGCCCGUACCGUAAACCGACACAGGUGGGUGGGAUGAGUAUUCUAAGGCGCGUGGAAGAACUCUCUUUAAGGAACUCUGCAAAAUAGCACCGUAUCUUCGGUAUAAGGUGUGGUUAGCUUUGUAUUAGGAUUUACUCCGAAAGCAAGGAAACUUACAACAAAGAGUCCCUCCCGACUGUUUACCAAAAACACAGCACUCUGCUAACUCGUAAGAGGAUGUAUAGGGUGUGACGCCUGCCCGGUGCUCGAAGGUUAAUUGAUGGGGUUAGCAUUAGCGAAGCUCUUGAUCGAAGCCCGAGUAAACGGCGGCCGUAACUAUAACGGUCCUAAGGUAGCGAAAUUCCUUGUCGGUUAAAUACCGACCUGCAUGAAUGGCGUAACGAGAUGGGAGCUGUCUCAAAGAGGGAUCCAGUGAAAUUGUAGUGGAGGUGAAAAUUCCUCCUACCCGCGGCAAGACGGAAAGACCCCGUGGACCUUUACUACAGCUUGACACUGCUACUUGGAUAAGAAUGUGCAGGAUAGGUGGGAGGCUUUGAGUAUAUGACGCCAGUUGUAUAUGAGCCAUUGUUGAGAUACCACUCUUUCUUAUUUGGGUAGCUAACCAGCUUGAGUUAUCCUCAAGUGGGACAAUGUCUGGUGGGUAGUUUGACUGGGGCGGUCGCCUCCCAAAUAAUAACGGAGGCUUACAAAGGUUGGCUCAGAACGGUUGGAAAUCGUUCGUAGAGUAUAAAGGUAUAAGCCAGCUUAACUGCAAGACAUACAAGUCAAGCAGAGACGAAAGUCGGUCUUAGUGAUCCGGUGGUUCUGUGUGGAAGGGCCAUCGCUCAAAGGAUAAAAGGUACCCCGGGGAUAACAGGCUGAUCUCCCCCAAGAGCUCACAUCGACGGGGAGGUUUGGCACCUCGAUGUCGGCUCAUCGCAUCCUGGGGCUGGAGCAGGUCCCAAGGGUAUGGCUGUUCGCCAUUUAAAGCGGUACGCGAGCUGGGUUCAGAACGUCGUGAGACAGUUCGGUCCCUAUCUGCCGUGGGCGUAAGAAGAUUGAAGAGAUUUGACCCUAGUACGAGAGGACCGGGUUGAACAAACCACUGGUGUAGCUGUUGUUCUGCCAAGAGCAUCGCAGCGUAGCUAAGUUUGGAAAGGAUAAACGCUGAAAGCAUCUAAGCGUGAAGCCAACUCUAAGAUGAAUCUUCUCUAAGCUCUCUAGAAGACUACUAGUUUGAUAGGCUGGGUGUGUAAUGGAUGAAAGUCCUUUAGCUGACCAGUACUAAUAGAGCGUUUGGCUUAUCUUUAAUAAAGCAU